AUUUACUUUUAUUAUGUUGGUGUAUAUCUGGUUUAAUAUUAUUGUUGAAUAAUAUAGUUUGUGUAGUAUUUAGUUAAGCCAAGUCUAUGUGCUGCUUAUAGAAGUAUUCAUGCGUUACUUUUAUAAAGUUUUAGCUGUAAUGUUAUCAUAUUUAGGACUUAAAAGUAAUGUCAAAUUAGUUUGUUGAUGUGAAGUAAGUUUAGCUCAUGUACACACCGC
rnacentral:rRNA from 1 species